GAUGAACGCUGGCGGCGUGCCUAAUACAUGCAAGUCGAGCGAACAGAUGAGGAGCUUGCUCCUCUGACGUUAGCGGCGGACGGGUGAGUAACACGUGGAUAACCUACCUAUAAGAAUGGGAUAAUUUCGGGAAACCGGAGCUAAUACCGGAUAAUAUAUUGAACCGCAUGGUUCAAUAGUGAAAGACGGUUUUGCUGUCACUUAUAGAUGGAUCCGCGCCGCAUUAGCUAGUUGGUAAGGUAACGGCUUACCAAGGCAACGAUGCGUAGCCGACCUGAGAGGGUGGUCGGCCAGACUGGAACAGAGACACGGUACAGACUCCUACAGGAGGCAGCAGUAGGGAAUCUUCCGCGAUGGGCGAGAGCCUGACGGAGCAACACCGCGUGAGUGAUGAAGGACUUCGGAUCGUAAAACUCUGUUAUUAGGGAAGAACAAAUGUGUAAGUAACUAUGAACGUCUUGACGGUACCUAAUCAGAAAGCCACGGCUAACUACGUG
rnacentral:rRNA from 1 species